rnacentral:tRNA from 1 species
GCCUGGGUGGCUCAGUCGGUUGGGCGUCUGACUUCAGCUCAGGUCAUGAUCUCACGGUGUGUGGGUUCAAGCCCCACAUGGGGCU